AACGAACGCUGGCGGCAGGCCUAACACAUGCAAGUCGAGCGCGCCCUUCGGGGUGAGCGGCGGACGGGUGAGUAACGCGUGGGAACGUGCCCUUCUCUGCGGAAUAGCCUCGGGAAACUGAGAGUAAUACCGCAUACGCCCUUUGGGGGAAAGAUUUAUCAGAGAAGGAUCGGCCCGCGUUGGAUUAGGUAGUUGGUGGGGUAAUGGCCCACCAAGCCGACGAUCCAUAGCUGGUUUGAGAGGAUGAUCAGCCACACUGGGACUGAGACACGGCCCAGACUCCUACGGGAGGCAGCAGUGGGGAAUCUUAGACAAUGGGGGCAACCCUGAUCUAGCCAUGCCGCGUGAGUGAUGAAGGCCUUAGGGUUGUAAAGCUCUUUCAGCUGGGAAGAUAAUGACGGUACCAGCAGAAGAAGCCCCGGCUAACUCCGUG
rnacentral:rRNA from 1 species